AAUGGAGGAAACUCUGAACCAGCCAUCCCGCGUGCAGGACGAAGGCCCUCUGGGUUGUAAACUGCUUUUACCAGGAAAGAAACGAGUGGGCUUGCCCGCUCCUGACGGUACCUGGGGAAUAAGCACCGGCUAACUCCGUGCCAGCAGCCGCGGUAAUACGGAGGGUGCAAGCGUUAUCCGGAAUCACUGGGUUUAAAGGGUGCGUAGGCGGCUUGAUAAGUCAGGGGUGAAAGCUUCCCGCUCAACGGGAGAACUGCCCUUGAUACUGUCAGGCUCGAAUUGGGUUGAGGCCGGCGGAAUGUGGCAUGUAGCGGUGAAAUGCUUAGAUAUGCCAUAGAACACCGAUUGCGAAGGCAGCCGGCCAAGCCUUGAUUGACGCUGAGGCACGAAAGCGUGGGGAGCGAA
rnacentral:rRNA from 1 species